CCAUCCCAGUUCGGAUUGCAGGCUGCAACCCGCCUGCAUGAAGUUGGAAUCACUAGUAAUCGCGGAUCAGCAUGCCGCGGUGAAUGCGUUCUCGGGCCUUGUACACACCGCCCGUCACACCAUGAGAGUCGGGAACACCCGAAGUCCGUAGCCUAACCGCAAGGGGGCGCGGCCGAAGGUGGGCUCGAUAAUUGGGGUGAAGUCGUAACAAGGUAAC
rnacentral:rRNA from 1 species